rnacentral:tmRNA from 1 species
GGGGUUGACAUGGAUUUGACAGCAGGAUGGAAUGGCAUGUAAGCACGCAGAGGGUCGGUGAUUUCCUCUAUAAUCUCAGUUACCAAAAAUUUAUCUGGCGAAAACAACUACGCUCUCGCUGCGUAAUCGAAGCAUAGUAGAUUACCUUUAUUUCGGCACCAGGUGCUGAAACGAGACAUCACCCGGAAGCUGUUGCUCCGAAGCGUUCCGAACAGGUGGUGCAGCCAAAUCGGGGAUAGUCGCAGGCGGCCUUGCACCUGCGAUGAAAAUGUAAAGGAUAAGGUACAGGUCGGGUAGUCCGGGUCUUGUCUGUACACGAAAACCCUAAGCCGGAAUAAGCGUGUAGAAAGCAUACGGUUUCCCUGUUUGGACGAGGGUUCGAUUCCCUCCAGCUCCACC